rnacentral:rRNA from 1 species
AGCGAACGCUGGCGGCGUGCUUAACACAUGCAAGUCGAACGAGUGUAGCAAUACAUUCGUGGCGAACAGGUGAGUAACACGUGGAUAACCUUCCUUGAAGUGGGGAAUAACCCAGUGAAAAUUGGGAUAAUACCGCAUAACAUGACGAUGGCACAUGCUGUUGUCUUCAAAGGCGCAAGUCGCUACAAGGGGGAUCCGCG